AUGGGGAAAAACAUCGUGCCGGUGAAAUCCGUUGUGUACGCUCUUUCUCCUUUCCAGCAGAAAAUCAUGAGCGGUUUGUGGAAGGAUUUGCCAACCAAAAUUCAUCACAAGGUCUCCGAAAAUUGGAUUAGCGCUCUUCUCUUGGUUACUCCCGUCGUCGGCACCUACUCGUAUGCUAUGCACUUUGUGGAACAAGAGAAGCUGCACCACAGGUACUGA